rnacentral:tRNA from 1 species
UAAAUUGAAGCCGAAAGUAAGGCGCUUAGCUGUUAACUAAGAAUUAGUAGGAUAAAUACCUGCCAAUUUAG